AUUUGUGUCUACAGCUGCCUAUU
rnacentral:piRNA from 1 species